rnacentral:rRNA from 1 species
UACGUAGGGUGCGAGCGUUUGUCCGGAUUUAUUGGGCGUAAAGAGCUCGUAGGCGGUUUGUCGCGUCUGCUGUGAAAACCCGAGGCUCAACCUCGGGCCUGCAGUGGGUACGGGCAGACUAGAGUGCGGUAGGGGAGAUUGGAAUUCCUGGUGUAGCGGUGGAAUGCGCAGAUAUCAGGAGGAACACCAAUGGCGAAGGCAGAUCUCUGGGCCGUAACUGACGCUGAGGAGCGAAAGCAUGGGGAGCGAACAGG